AUUGAACGCUAGCGGGAUGCUUUACACAUGCAAGUCGAGCGAGCGGCGGACGGGUGAGUAAUGUAUGGGGACUGCCCGAUAGAGGGGGAUAACUACUGGAAACGGUAGCUACUACCGCAUACUAUCGGAUAACCCAUAUGGGAUUAGCUAGUAGGUGAGGUAAUGGUGCACCUUGGCGACGAUCCCUAGCUGGUCUGAGAGGAUGAUCACCAACACUGGGACUGAGACACGGCCCAGACUCCUACGGAGGCAGCAGUGGGGAAUAUUGCCCAAUGGGCGCAAGCCUGAUGCAGCCAUGCCGCGUGUAUGAAGAAGGCCCUAGGGUUGUAAAGUACUUUCAGUCGGGAGGCGUUACCGACAGAAGAAGCACCGGCUAACUCCGUGCCAGCAGCCGCGGUAAUAC
rnacentral:rRNA from 1 species